rnacentral:rRNA from 1 species
GUGAGGAAAGAUUUAUUGCUCGGGGAGAGGGGUGCGUCCUAUCAGGUUGUUGGUGAGGUAAAGGCUCACCAAGCCUAUGACGGGUAGCCGGUUUGAGAUGAUGAUCGGCCGCGAUGGGACUGAGACACGGCCCAUACUCCUACGGGAGGCAGCAGUGGGGAAUAUUGCACAAUGGACGAAAGUCUGAUGCAGCGAUUCUGCGUGGAGGACGAAGCAUUACGGUGUGUAAACUCCUUUUUUGGUAGAAGGCGAAUGACGGUAUACCAAGAAUAAGGGACGGCUAACUAUGUGCCAGCAGCCGCGGUAAUACAUAGGUCUCAAGCGUUAUCCGGAUUUACUGGGCGUAAAGAGUCCGUAGCCGGACAUAUAAGUCUGUUUUCAAAUCCUAUGGCUCAACCAUAGACCGGGAAUAGAUACUGUAUGUCUGGAAGUUAUUGGGGGUUAGUGGAAUUUCAGGUGGAGCGGUGGAAUGCGUUGAUAUCUGAAAGAACGCCGAAAGCAAAAGCAGCUAACUACAAUAAACUUGACGGUAAGGGACGAAAGCUUGGGUAGCGAACGGGAUUAGAUACCCCGGUAGUCCAAGCCGUAAAUGAUGCUUGCUAGAUGUUUUGGACCCUUGUGGUCUGGAGUGUCGUAAUCUAACGAGUUAAGCAAGCCGCCUGGGUAGUAUAUUCGCAAGAAUGAAACUCAAAGGGAUAGGCGGGGGAACACACAAGCAGUGGAUUGUCUAGAUUAAUUGGACAAUAAGCCAAGAAUCUUACCUAGAUUUGACAUGUACUAUGUCCUAUGUGAAAGCAUAGUAGUCCGAGCAAUCGGACAUGGUAUACAGGUGGUGCAUGGUCGUCGUCAGCUCGUGCCGUAAGGUGUCUAGUUAAGUCUGGAAACGAGCGCAACCCUCAUCUUUAGUUAGAAUGUCUAAAGAGACUGCUCUGGUAACGGAGAGGAAGGAGAGGAUGACGUCAGGUCCUCAUGCCCCUUACAUCUAGGGCUUCAUAGACAAUACAAUGGGUGAUACAACGAGAAGCUAAACCGUGAGGUGGAGCAAACCUCUAAAG